AACGCAAAUUGCACUCCCUGGUAUUCCGGGGAGUAUGCCUGUUUGAGGGUCGUUAGAAUAAAAAUCGAGGCGUCGCUCUUUUUUUUAAGGGUGAUCGCGUCGGAAUUGAGCCGUCUUUCAAAUGUUAAUUCAUGUCAAAGUGGCUUAAAAUUCAUCCAUCCGGUACGAUUAAAGCGUAUUUAAGAUCAAUUUUGAUUAAGAACGCGCGAUGACGUACCAUCUCAUGUAGUACGUUUGACUUGGCGUCGUCAGGAUCAUUCGUAUACGAUACUCAACUUUUGACCUCAAAUCAGGUAAGAAUACCCGCUGAACUUAA
rnacentral:misc_RNA from 1 species